ensembl:lncRNA novel transcript
AAGCACAAAUGUGAAUUGGGUAAAGAAAGCUGAUUUAACAGCAACACAUUUGACUUCAAUAUUAUGGUAAAUGAGUCCAAAGUCAUACUGCCCCUCCCGUUUGGUAUUUUAAGUACAGUAAUAGACAAAUACACACAGAAUAAAAUAACACAAUAAUACUCUGUUACUCUCUGUUGAUCGAAUCCCAUAAGAACUAUUAUAUUCAGUUAUAAGCAUCAUUCUUAAAAAAGAACACUGUCAAACUGGAUAUCCUUUUGGUCUAAAGAAUGAUAAGAUUUAGGAAUAAAAUAAUAAUCAUAUACAACACCUCACAAAUUCAAAGUAAUUAAUUCCUUUGUUCAUUCAAUAAAUAAUUUAUUAAGGUCUAGAAGUUACUGUUCUGGGAACUAGAAUAUAUGAACAUCCAAGAUAAAGACCAUGCACUAACAGUGCUAAAUUCUAGGAACAAAGAUUUAUAUGUAUGUAUGCAUACACUACUUUAUUCCAAAAAAACACUGAAGGUGGCUACAAGUUAUGUAAAGCAUGAAGGAAGGCAUAAAAUAUGAGUAGAUGAGAAAAGAGGAAGCAAAGGAAAACAAGAUUAGGAACAGACAGGGAGUAGAAUUAGGAUCAAGAAGUAGAAUUAAUUUCCUAUCACUGAAAGGUAUUCGCAAAUACAGACAGGUCACCACAGAAUAUGAUAUAAAUAAGAUAAAUAGUAACAAUACCACCACCUAACCUUACAUGGCGUUUAGUCCUGUUUUAAAGGUUUUAUAUCCAUUAUGACACUAUUCUUAUCUUCAUUUUACAGAGAAGGAAUCAUAGGCACAGAGUUAUAAGUAUGUUGAAGAAUGUUACAAAACCGGUAAGAGACCUAGGAUCCAAGCACAAGACGUCUGUCUUCGUGCAAGUUCAUAUAAACAUUACAAUCUCAUUUAAGAAUAUUUUUUUAGGAGGGAGGUGAGACAAGACGGCAGAACAGAAAACUCCACAGAUCAUCCUCCUACCCCUACCACAAGGAUACUAAGUUAACAAACAACUACACAGAAAAAAGCAUCUUCCUAAGAGCUAAAAAUCAGGUGAGCACUCACAGUACCUGGUUUUAACCUCGUAUCACUGAAAGAGACACUGAAAAGACAGAAAAACAGUUCCGAGUCUCCGGUGCCACCCCUCCCUGACCCCAGCAGCAUGGCUUGGUGCCAAGAGCAUCUCUGGGUGCUGGUGAAGGGAGAACAGAGCAAUUGUGAGGCACUGAACUCAGUGCCAUUUUGUUGCAGCAAAAAGGAAAACCUGACCAAACUAAGCUGAAGUCCACCCAAAAGAAGGCAUGUCAACCAGCCUCAGCCAGAGGGCAAUCACUGAUACCAGCAGUCCAAACCUGACUGCCCGCAAACCUCAGUACCAAAGGCCACAGUGCUCUUGUUGUCUAAGUAAAUUGGAAAGGUAAUCUAGGCCAUAAGGACUGCACCUCAUAGGUGAGUCCUAGUGCUGAACUAGGCCCAAAGACAAUGGACUGAAGUGGCAUGGGACAUACUGAGAUACCAGCUGGGGCAGCUACGGGAAUGUUGGCAUCACCUCUCCCCUAACCUGAGACUGCACAGCUUGUGGAUCCAAAAGAAACCCCUUCCUUCCACUUGAGAAGAGGAGAGGGAAGAGUUGGGAGGAGUUUGUCUUGCAUCUUGCUUAUCAGCUCUGCCACAGAAGGACAGGGCACCUUGAGGUCAUGAGGCCCUUGUGCCAGGUUCUAGCUCUGGGGUGACAUUUCUAGAUACACCCUGGGCCAGAAGGAAACCCACUGCCUUGAAGGAAAGGACCCAGUCCUGGCAGCAUUCAUCAUCUGCUAACUGAAGAGCCCUUGGGUCCUGAAUAACCAGCAGUGAUACCCGGGUACUACGUUGAGGACCUUGGUGAGCUUCUGAGACUUGUUGGCUUCAGGUGAGACUAUGCACAUUACCAGCUGUGGUGGCUAUGGGGCAAAACUCCUUCCACUUGAUAAAAACAGAAGGAAGAGUAAAGGGGACUUUGUUUUGCAUCUUAGGUACCAACACCACCACUGUGGGGUAGAGCACCAAGUGGGCUUUUGGGUUCCCAAUUCUAGGACUUGACUCUUGGACAGCAUUUCUAGACCUGCCCUUGGCCAAAGGGGAGCCCACUGCCCUGACGGGUGAGUCCCAGGCCAGGCAGUAUUCACCACAAGCUGAUAUAAGAGCCCUUGGUCCUUAAGGGAACAUCGGUGGUACUUUGGCAGUACUCCUCAUGGCCAGGUGUGGCGGUGGCUACGGGGUAAGGCUCCUCAGCUUUUGGAAAGGGGAAAAAGUGGAAAGAGUGGGAAGGAUUGUGUCUUGUGGUUUGAGUGCCAGCUCAGCCACAGUACAACAGAAUGCCAAGUAGAUUUCUAAGUUUUUUGACUCUAGUCCCUGACUCCUCUAUGGCAUCUGUGGACCCACUGGUGGCCAGGGGGACUUUGCCACCCUGAAGAGAAGGACACAGGCCCAGCCGACUUUUCUACCUGCCAAUUGCAGAGCCCCAGGGCCUUGAGUGAAUAUAGGCUAUAGCCAAGGAGUGAUUAAGACAGGCCUUGGGCAAGACCCAGCACUGUGCUUGCUUCAGGUGUGACCCAGUACCUGAAGUGGUGGUGGUGGUCAUAGGGGUGCUUGUAUCAUACAUCAUACCAGCCCCAGCUUUAGGUGCCUCAGAACAGAGAGAGAGAGAGACUCUGUGUUCUUGGGAGAAAGUAAGGGAAGAGAAAAAGAGACUCUGCCUGGUAAUCCAGAGAAUCACCCCAGAUCUUAUCCAAGGCCAUCAAGGCAGUACCUCUACAAGUCUGAAAGAACCAGUGUCACUGGAAAGCCUUCCCAAGAAGGAUGGCUACAAAUAAGCUCAGGCAAUGAAGAGUACAAUAAAUACCUAACUCUUCAAUGCUCGGGCCCCGAGGAACAUCUACUAGCAUUAACACCAUCCAGAAAAACAUGACCUCAACAAACGAACUAAAUAAGGCACCAAGAAUCAAUCCUCGAGAAACAAAGAUAUGUGACCUUUCACAUGGAGAAUUCAAAAUAGCUGCGUUGAGGAAACUCAAAGAAAUUCAAGAUAACACAGAGAAGGGAUUCAGAAUUCUAUCAGAUAAAUUUAACAAAGAUAUUGAAAUAAUUUUAAAAAAUCGAGCAGAAAUUCUGGAGCUCAAAAAUGCAAUUGGCAUACUUAAGAAUUCAUCAAGUCCUUCAAGAGCAAAUUGGAUCAAGCAGAGGAAAGAAUUAAUGAGCUUCUGAAGAAAGGCUAUUUGAAAACACACAGAGGAGAAAAAAGAAUAAAAACCAAUGACACAUGCUUACAUGAUCUAGAGAAUAGCCUCAAAAGGGCAAAUCUAAGAGGUAUUGGCCUUGAAAAAGAGGUAGAGAACAGGGUGAGAAAGUUUAUUUUGAGUAAACCUUCAAAUAACAGAGAACUACCCAAAUCUAGAGAAAAUAUCCAAAUACAAGAAAGUUAUAGAAUACCAAGCAGAUUUAACCCAAAGAAGACUACCUCAAGACAUUUAAUAAUCAAACGCCCAAAGGUCAAGAAUAAAAUAAGAAUCCUAAAAGCUGCAAGAGAAAAGAAACAAUAACAUACAAAGGAGCCCCAAUACAUCUGGCAGCAGACUUUUCAGUGAAAACCUUAUAUGCCAGGAGACAGUGGCAUGACAUAUUUACAUUGCUGAGGGAAAAAAACUUUUACCCUAGAAUAACAUAUCCAGUGAAAAUAUCAUUUGACCAUGAAGAGGAAAUAAAGACUUUCCCAAACAAAUAAAAGCUAAGGGAUUUCAACAACAGCAGACCUGUCCUACAAGGAAUGCUAAAGGGGGCACUCCAAUCAGAAAGAAAAGGGCAUUAAUGAGCAAUAAAUGAUCACCUGAAAAUACAAAACUUACUGGUAAUAUAAGUACACAGAAAAAUACAGAAUAUUAUAAACACUGUUACUGUGGUUUGCAAACUACUCUUAUCCUAGGUAGAAAGACUAAAUGAUGAAUUAAACAACAAUAAUAACUACAACAACUUUUCAAGACAUAGGCAGUAGAAGAUAUAAACAGAAACGACAAAAAGUUAAAAAGCAAGGAAAUGAAGUUAAGGCAAGUUUCUACUAGUUUUCUUUUUGCUUGUUUGUUUGCUUAUGCAAAUAGUGUCAUGUUAUCAGGUUAAAAUAAUGAGUGAUAAGAUAGCAUUUGCAAGGCUCAUGGUAACCUCAAACCAAAAAACAUACAAUGGACACACAAAAAAA